rnacentral:rRNA from 1 species
UAGGGAAUCUUCGGCAAUGGGGGGAACCCUGACCGAGCAACGCCGCGUGAGUGAAGAAGGUUUUCGGAUCGUAAAGCUCUGUUGUUAAGGAAGAACGAGUGUGAGAAUGGAAAGUUCAUACUGUGACGGUACUUAACCAGAAAGGGAGGGCUAACUACGUGCCAGCAGCCGCGGUAAUACGUAGGUCCCGAGCGUUGUCCGGAUUUAUUGGGCGUAAAGCGAGCGCAGGCGGUUAGAUAAGUCUGAAGUUAAAGGCAGUGGCUCAACCAUUGUAGGCUUUGGAAACUGUUUAACUUGAGUGCAGAAGGGGAGAGUGGAAUUCCAUGUGUAGCGGUGAAAUGCGUAGAUAUAUGGAGGAACACCGGUGGCGAAAGCGGCUCUCUGGUCUGUAACUGACGCUGAGGCUCGAAAGCGUGGGGAGCGAACAGG